UGUGGAAAGAAGAAGUACCCACUUCUCACCUGAUUGGCUUAAGUCGAUAGGUUUAAAAGUCGCAUAGUUUUUUUUAACUGUGAUUUUAAACGUGGGCGCUUGAAUGCCUACGUUUUUCUUUUUUU
rfam:Turicibacter sanguinis PC909 contig00098, whole genome shotgun sequence.